UUGCUGGGUGGAUUAGUGGCGAACGGGUGAGUAACACGUGAGCAACGUGCCCGAAACUCUGGAAUAACCACCGGAAACGGUGGCUAAUACUGGAUAUGUGCCAGGGAGGCAUCUCCUCUGGUUGGAAAGAUUUUUCGGUUUCGGAUCGGCUCACGGCCUAUCAGCUUGUUGGCGGGGUAAAGGCCCACCAAGGCGACGACGGGUAGCCGGCCUGAGAGGGUGACCGGCCACACUGGGACUGAGACACGGCCCAGACUCCUACGGGAGGCAGCAGUGGGGAAUAUUGCACAAUGGGCGCAAGCCUGAUGCAGCAACGCCGCGUGAGGGAUGACGGCCUUCGGGUUGUAAACCUCUUUUAGUAGGGAAGAAGCGAAAGUGACGGUACCUGCAGAAAAAGCACCGGCUAACUACGUGCCAGCAGCCGCGGUAAUACGUAGGGUGCAAGCGUUGUCCGGAAUUAUUGGGCGUAAAGAGCUCGUAGGCGGUUUGUCGCGUCUGCUGUGAAAUCCCGAGGCUCAACCUCGGGCCUGCAGUGGGUACGGGCAGACUUGAGUGCGGUAGGGGAGAUUGGAAUUCCUGGUGUAGCGGUGGAAUGCGCAGAUAUCAGGAGGAACACCGAUGGCGAAGGCAGAUCUCUGGGCCGUUACUGACGCUGAGGAGCGAAAGCAUGGGGAGCGAACAGGAUUAGAUACCCUGGUAGUCCAUGCCGUAAACGUUGGGCGCUAGAUGUGGGGACCAUUCCACGGUUUCUGUGUCGUAGCUAACGCAUUAAGCGCCCCGCCUGGGGAGUACGGCCGCAAGGCUAAAACUCAAAGGAAUUGACGGGGGCCCGCACAAGCGGCGGAGCAUGCGGAUUAAUUCGAUGCAACGCGAAGAACCUUACCAAGGCUUGACAUAUACCGGAAACUUCCAGAGAUGGUUGCCCUGCUUGCAGUCGGUAUACAGGUGGUGCAUGGUUGUCGUCAGCUCGUGUCGUGAGAUGUUCGGUUAAGUCCGGCAACGAGCGCAACCCUCGUCCUAUGUUGCCAGCACGUUAUGGUGGGAACUCAUGGGAUACUGCCGUGGUCAACACGGAGGAAGGUGGGGAUGACGUCAAAUCAUCAUGCCCCUUAUGUCUUGGGCUUCACGCAUGCUACAAUGGCCGGUACAAUGGGCUGCGAUACCGCGAGGUGGAGCGAAUCCCAAAAAGCCGGUCUCAGUUCGGAUUGGGGUCUGCAACUCGACCCCAUGAAGUCGGAGUCGCUAGUAAUCGCAGAUCAGCAACGCUGCGGUGAAUACGUUCCCGGGCCUUGUACACACCGCCCGUCAAGUCAUGAAAGUCGGUAACACCCGAAGCCGGUGGCCUAACCCUU
rnacentral:rRNA from 1 species